rnacentral:rRNA from 1 species
AUUGAACGCUGGCGGCAGGCCUAACACAUGCAAGUCGAGCGGCAGCGACUUAACUGAACCUUCGGGGAACGUUAAGGGCGGCGAGUGGCGGACGGGUGAGUAAUGCCUGGGAAUAUGCCCUGAUGUGGGGGAUAACUAUUGGAAACGAUAGCUAAUACCGCAUAAUCUCUUCGGAGCAAAGAGGGGGACCUUCGGGCCUCUCGCGUCAGGAUUAGCCCAGGUGGGAUUAGCUUGUUGGUGAGGUAAUGGCUCACCAAGGCAACGACCCCUAGCUGGUCUGAGAGGAUGAUCAGCCACACUGGAACUGAGACACGGUCCAGACUCCUACGGGAGGCAGCAGUGGGGAAUAUUGCACAAUGGGGGAAACCCUGAUGCAGCCAUGCCGCGUGUGUGAAGAAGGCCUUCGGGUUGUAAAGCACUUUCAGUAGGGAGGAAGGUAGUGUAGUUAACACCUGCAUUAUUUGACGUUACCUACAGAAGAAGCACCGGCUAACUCCGUGCCAGCAGCCGCGGUAAUACGGAGGGUGCGAGCGUUAAUCGGAAUUACUGGGCGUAAAGCGCAUGCAGGCGGCCUGUUAAGUCAGAUGUGAAAGCCCGGGGCUUAACCUCGGAAUUGCAUUUGAAACUGGCAGGCUAGAGUCUUGUAGAGGGGGGUAGAAUUUCAGGUGUAGCGGUGAAAUGCGUAGAGAUCUGAAGGAAUACCAGUGGCGAAGGCGGCCCCCUGGACAAAGACUGACGCUCAGAUGCGAAAGCGUGGGGAGCAAACAGG